CAGUCGCCGCGGGAAUACGUAGGGCGCAAGCGUUGUCCGGAAUUAUUGGGCGUAAAGAGCUCGUAGGCGGUUUGUCGCGUCUGCUGUGAAAACUCGAGGCUCAACCUCGGGCUUGCAGUGGGUACGGGCAGACUAGAGUGCGGUAGGGGAGACUGGAAUUCCUGGUGUAGCGGUGGAAUGCGCAGAUAUCAGGAGGAACACCGAUGGCGAAGGCAGGUCUCUGGGCCGCAACUGACGCUGAGGAGCGAAAGCAUGGGGAGCGAACAGGAUUAGAUACCCCAGUAGUCCCUGUCUCUUAUAC
rnacentral:rRNA from 1 species